UCUCUCCGCGGAAGACCCGUGCCUGGCUGGUGGACCCCGGCGCUCGGAUCCGUCUUCUUCGCGUCACCAGCCGCGCGGACUUGGCAAACGCCACGCUGGAACCUCGCCGCGCAUCUCGGAGGCCCAACCGAAUCCCAGUCGCGCGGCCAAGUCUCCUUCCCCACGUGCGCUACCCCUUGAAGUACGGCGCCGCUCGACCAACCAUGACUCCCUUUCUUUCGCCAGGCCAGCCCCAAAAUCGCGAGGAGAAGUGCGUAGUCGCCGGUGUGCAAGGGACCGGCAUGGGGCCGCCACCGUGAAGUCUUGGUUCGGUGGUGCCUCUGCCCCAAUUUGAGUCUCCCAUGCAUCGCCGGUGAGAAUAGAAGCUGCCGGUGGGAAGAAUCGCGCGGGGGUGCUGUUGUGGGCUCGGGAAUUUCUCCCCGGAGUCUAGCCGCCACCGUAGAGCCGCGCCUGGCCGGGGCCAGGCUGAAUGCUGCUGCGAUCCACGGGCUCGGGUGGGGGAGAUCUGCGUCCGAUGAACCCGGAAUUCCACACCGGAGCCUGGACUCGUGGCCAAGCCGCAGUGUGCUGCAGCUAGCUCCCCUCUCCGCCCUCCAACGAUGACGAGCAGGCUACACAGGAUUCUGAGGUUCAGCUGGUAGAGAGAGCUGAGCAGGAGCUCGUUGAAGGCAAGUUGUGCCCUUGAUCACUUCUUUUACCCAUUCAUGUUCUUGUUAAUCAUAAUGAUCUGCAUAGGUUAAUUUUGCUGGGACCCAAUAGGUUACCCUAGAUUUGACUAUCUUUAUACCUUGUUUCACCACUGGUUUUACUACUAAAUUUUUGGGUAGUACAUGCUAUUGCUUUAUGUGGAUUUGGGUAUAAAGAUAUUUAUGACUCAUGAUUACACUUUCUAUUAUCUGUUCAUUAUUUUAUGUUCAUGAUAAGAUCAUUAUGUUAAUGGGAACAUGGAGAACCACCCGGGAAAACAGUGCUACCACAAGGGUUUAAUGGGACGCCCUUGGCUGAUUAACUAGGAAAGCUAGUGGAGGGCUGCCUUACCCGAAAGGGGCAAGGGCAGUAGGGGAGUGGUCAGUGUAGGGAGGUCCUUGGGUUGAUUUUGCUGCGAUGGCGGUCAGGCAAGAACCCUGCACUGGAGCUUCCUAUAAACUGUAGCGGGUAGUCUGAAGCUAGUGGAACUUUAUAAAGGCCUCGUAGUGGUACCCUGCCUCGCUUCCUAGGUAGAGGUGUAU